GUGGGUGUGGCGCAAUUUGGUAGACGCGCCGGUCUUAGAAACCGGUCGUUGGAGGUUCAAUUCCUCUCACCCACA
rnacentral:tRNA from 1 species